GCUCUUGUAGCUCAGUUGGUUAGAUCGUCGUGCUUAUACAAUAUGUUCAUAGUGAAUGGCUAUAUUAGUAUCACGAAUGUCCACGGUUCGAUCCCGUGCAAGAGCA